UUUGGAAAAAUUGAAUGUAAUACUUUUUUUUUUUAAAAUAAAAAUAGCGAGCAAACGUGCAGGCGGUUCACCUGAUGACAAGUGAUUACCGCCGCCCAUGAACAUUUGCAGCACCAGAUGAACCGCCGUAGCGUUGCCGGCCUUUCAGGAGUUUCUUGG